GCCGCGUGAGUGAAGAAGGCCUUCGGGUUGUAAAGCUCUUUUGUCAGGGAAGAAACGGGUGAGGCUAAUAUCCUUGCCUAAUGACGGUACCUGAAGAAUAAGCACCGGCUAACUACGUGCCAGCAGCCGCGGUAAUACGUAGGGUGCAAGCGUUAAUCGGAAUUACUGGGCGUAAAGCGUGCGCAGGCGGUUGUGCAAGACAGAUGUGAAAUCCCCGGGCUCAACCUGGGAAUUGCAUUUGUGACUGCACGGCUAGAGUGUGUCAGAGGGGGGUAGAAUUCCACGUGUAGCAGUGAAAUGCGUAGAUAUGUGGAGGAAUACCGAUGGCGAAGGCAGCCCCCUGGGAUAACACUGACGCUCAUGCACGAAAGCGUGGGGAGCAAACAGGAUUAGAUACCCUGGUAGUCCACGCCCUAAACGAUGUCUACUAGUUGUCGGGUCUUAAUUGACUUGGUAACGCAGCUAACGCGUGAAGUAGACCGCCUGGGGAGUACGGUCGCAAGAUUAAAACUCAAAGGAAUUGACGGGGACCCGCACAAGCGGUGGAUGAUGUGGAUUAAUUCGAUGCAACGCGAAAAACCUUACCUACCCUUGACAUGUACGGAAGUCCGAAGAGAUUUGGA
rnacentral:rRNA from 1 species